GGGUUGUGAGGUUAAGCGACCAAGCGUACACGGUGGAUGCCCUGGCAGUCAGAGGCGAUGAAGGACGUGCUAAUCUGCGAAAAGCGCCGGUAAGGUGAUAUGAACCGUUAUAACCGGCGAUGUCCGAAUGGGGAAACCCAGUGUGACUCGUCACACUAUCAUUAACUGAAUCCAUAGGUUAAUGAGGCGAACCGGGGGAACUGAAACAUCUAAGUACCCCGAGGAAAAGAAAUCAACCGAGAUUCCCCCAGUAGCGGCGAGCGAACGGGGAGGAGCCCAGAGCCUGAAUCAGCAUGUGUGUUAGUGGAAGCGUCUGGAAAGGCGCGCGAUACAGGGUGACAGCCCCGUACACAAAAGCGCAUGUGCUGUGAGCUCGAUGAGUAGGGCGGGACACGUGGUAUCCUGUCUGAAUAUGGGGGGACCAUCCUCCAAGGCUAAAUACUCCUGACUGACCGAUAGUGAACCAGUACCGUGAGGGAAAGGCGAAAAGAACCCCGGCGAGGGGAGUGAAACAGAACCUGAAACCGUGUACGUACAAGCAGUGGGAGCAUGAGUUUACUCAUGUGACUGCGUACCUUUUGUAUAAUGGGUCAGCGACUUAUAUUCUGUAGCAAGGUUAACCGAAUAGGGGAGCCGGAGGGAAACCGAGUCUUAACCGGGCGUUAAGUUGCAGGGUAUAGACCCGAAACCCGGUGAUCUAGCCAUGGGCAGGUUGAAGGUUGGGUAACACUAACUGGAGGACCGAACCGACUAAUGUUGAAAAAUUAGCGGAUGACCUGUGGCUGGGGGUGAAAGGCCAAUCAAACCGGGAGAUAGCUGGUUCUCCCCGAAAGCUAUUUAGGUAGCGCCUCGUGAAUUCAUCUCCGGGGGUAGAGCACUGUUUCGGCCAGGGGGCCAUCCCGGCUUACCAACCCGAUGCAAACUGCGAAUACCGGAGAAUGUUAUCACGGGAGACACACGGCGGGUGCUAACGUCCGUCGUGAAGAGGGAAACAACCCAGACCGCCAGCUAAGGUCCCAAAGUCAUGGUUAAGUGGGAAACGAUGUGGGAAGGCCCAGACAGCCAGGAUGUUGGCUUAGAAGCAGCCAUCAUUUAAAGAAAGCGUAAUAGCUCACUGGUCGAGUCGGCCUGCGCGGAAGAUGUAACGGGGCUAAACCAUGCACCGAAGCUGCGGCAGCGAACGUAUCACUUAAAGCGAUUCAGCGGAUGACGAUUGACGGAGCGAAGCGACGUCAAAGCGUUUUACAACGUCGAGUCGGUUUAAGGAUACGUUCGUUGGGUAGGGGAGCGUUCUGUAAGCCUGCGAAGGUGUGUCGUGAGGCAUGCUGGAGGUAUCAGAAGUGCGAAUGCUGACAUAAGUAACGAUAAUGCGGGUGAAAAACCCGCACGCCGGAAGACCAAGGGUUCCUGUCCAACGUUAAUCGGGGCAGGGUGAGUCGACCCCUAAGGCGAGGCCGA
rnacentral:rRNA from 1 species